AAGGGAACAAGUCAUAGGGGUAGCUGCUAACUAACACCUAAAGCGGUUAAAUUCCGUUUUUCUCUUA
rnacentral:tRNA from 1 species